UUUCAGUUUAUUGUUUCAGGUUUAGCGGAUGGCGGCGGGAAGGCGAAAGUGUGACUGUACACUUCCUCGAUUGAUGAUUAUGAUUUCUAAGAACUCUUAUGUUUAACUAUUUUGAAAACAAAUUUUAAUAUCUGAAUGGUUUUAAAUGAUUUAAAAAGUUUUAAAUUUUUUGUAUGGGUGUUACAUCAAGGGGGGAAAUGUUUCAGACCUGUCAAGAACGCGAACAUGCAAAUCAAAGAAUACUCAAAGGUAUAGUUACUUGCAAUUUUGUAACUGUAACAUCAUAUUAGUUUUUGUUUGAUGAUUUGAUAGUUUGAUGAUUUAAUGGAUUUCACGUUACAAUUUUGUCGAAUUUAAAAGCCCCAAAUCUGCCCGCUCGCAACCCUAAAUCCUUCCCAUCCCGUUUAUCUCCAUGAAAUCAAGUGGAUUCUAGUGCGUUGUGAUACAAGACUCCAUCUUUACCUUAAAUCGGAGCAGAAAUUACACAGCCAAAGACAUCAUAUUUGAAGUCGAUGCUUCCAUCUUUUAAGAAAGUUUCUCUCUGUUAGUUCAUUCCAAGGUGUAUAUUAGAUUUAAGAAUAUCGAAUAAAUUUUAACUUUUGAUGAUAAAGGGUUAGUUCUCAGUUGUAAGAUUUAGACAUAAAGUUUUUAGUCAUAUGAAUUUAAUGAAUGUGAUUUUCAAUUUCUCUUCUGAUUUUAAAAGGAUCGACUUUCAUUUGUGGUAUUUAUGUGGAUUUCAUGCUUAUUUAUAAUAGGUGCCAACAAAAAUAUUACCGUGAAAUUCAACAUUAGGCUAGAAGUAUGCUUUUGUGUAUACGUAUUUAUAUGUAUGUGAGGUUUAUAAGUUCAUGUAAUGUGGAUUAUUGUUUACUUUCUGGUUUGAUUAAUAGUAGAAAUGAUCAAAAGGACGUUAUUCUUCGUCAUCUUCAGAAUCAAGAAAGAAAGCCCACUUUUCCUCAUCUUUUGGUAAUAAUAAUGUUUUAUUUUCUUUUAUUUGCAGCCAAUGAUAAGACCAAUUUAAGCAUUACCAAUAGUUAUUUAUCUAAAUCUACAUUUUUGUCCAUUUACAAUGCUAACAAUAACUUCCUAUCUUACCAUUGACAAAAAUAUCGAUUUUCAUAUGACAUUGCCUUUUAAGAUGAAAAAUUAUGCUUGUGUUAUUAUUUCUCUUGAUUAUAGAUGGAUACUUAUCACAGAUUAGUUGUAUUUAUAAUGACUGCAGGUGGAUCCUAUGAACAGAACCCAUAUAUCUUGCAGGACGUCAUGAUCCUAAUUCUACAAAGGUGUUUACAUCAAAAAGAUUUUAUAUUUACCAUUCUAUGCAAGUUCACUAAUUUCUUUUAUUAAAACUUCUUCACCUAGGAACAUCUAUUAAAGGUAACAAUAGACCAUGAGUUUUUAAAAUUACCUUAAUUAUGUCAUAUGUGAUCUUAAAUUCUGAUGUGUUAGUGUUUGUCAAGGCAAUCGACAAUUCAAGAGUUUGUUGUAACAAAAUUUUGAAAUUGUUUAUUAUUGGCUCCGAUUCUGGUGAGGAUAUGUGUCUGAUUGUUGAUCCUAAAUUAAUUUUAUGUUUUCUCAAAUUCCUAAGUAAGCAUGCUUCUGAUUUGCCUAAUUUCUGAUAUUUUUUUGGAUGGCCGCAUCUGUUGGGUGACGUUACUUCGACAAGUUUUGCCUCCUCGCGCUUCAUUUUGUUCUCUCUAUUGAUCGCAAGAAAUUUUAUUCAACUACAAGACUCCAAUAUAUGAUGACAGGAAUGAUAGUUGUUGUUGCUGCAUAUGUUGGUCAAUAUGUCAUCCAAGCAUGGUAGGUUUCACCUGUUUUCCAUAACUUUUAUCCUUAGAGUAAGGUAUACUACCAAAAGCCCUUUUUUGAAUAAGAGAUUAUGAAUCAGUUUUAUGUUGAAUUGGGGUUUCCAAAUUUAAUGCUCACGUUAUGUUCAUGAUGUAAAGAAGAGGGUACAUUUGCUCACAUUCUAACCACAUGUAUCAAAAUUUCCCCUCCAUUCAAAGGCUUGGGUUUUACUAGACGGUUUACCCAAUUAUCUAGCUUCCCGUGGAAAUGGUGCACUAACAACCUUGGUAUGUUAUGUUUUUUUUUUUUUUAUCCCUGGUCUUAUUGGAUAUUUGGAACGAAAAUUGUUUUGUAUGUCAAUGAUAUUGCUAUGCUUAGGUAAAAUUAUCAAAGUGAAAUGUUGUAAAAGUUAUUAUUAUUAUUAUUAUUAUUAUUGUUGUUGUUGUUUUCAUGGAUAAAGCAGUGAAUGAUGUCUGUUUGGAGUUAAUGUUGUACACACAAAGUAGAAUGCGGAUAAUUGACCAUUUUACCCUUCUAUUUUUUUAAA